UACGUAGGGUGCAAGCGUUAAUCGGAAUUACUGGGCGUAAAGCGUGCGCAGGCGGUUUGUAAGUCAGAUGUGAAAUCCCCGGGCUUAACCUGGGACUGCGUUUGAAACUACAAGGCUAGAGUGUGGCAGAGGGGGUGGAAUUCCACGGUGUAGCAGUGAAAUGCGUAGAGAUGUGGAGGAACACCGAUGGCGAAGGCAGCCCCCUGGGUUAACACUGACGCUCAGGCACGAAAGCGUGGGGAG
rnacentral:rRNA from 1 species